UGAAUGGGCAAAAUGAGAGAGCAUACUAACAUUAUUCAAAAUAAUAUUGUGAUAAUAUUUUAUUUAACUUUCAAUUUUUAUCUAGACUCGUAUUAUUUUAACUCACCAUCCAAACCUCUCCUAUCAAUUAUAACCCGAAGUGCAAGGUAUAAAUCAUGAAUGGGUUGUAUGAUAUUUAUCAAUAAGAUUAGAUGGUAUCUUCUCUAGCACUAAAAGCACUCGCAUCCGGCUCCCCAUCCCUUCCGCAUCCUCAUAUUUUGGGAAUAUUUGUAGGGUUUGCUUUAAAACCCUCCUCCAUCCGGUUCCCCAAAAUGGGGAUAAACUUUCCGAUCGCUACAGUAGGUCCCCAUAUAUGGGGACUCACUGUACAUCCCCAAAUGUGAUUUCGGUUCCCUCUCUCCUUCGACAUCCCGCGUCUUCUACCUUGCGACGGUUGGCUGCCCUUCAUCUCUCCAACUUCCCUGAAUCUCGCAUCACGCCGGUAUGCCCAUUCCAGAUUUUCCAAACUUUGAUUGAUAUUUGAUUCUACAAUCCCCAGCCCUACCCGAAAUGUUACUUUGUUUCUUUUGAUUUCAUUUUCAUAAAUUUCGCAUCAAAUUUCAACGGUGGUAGGUUUGUUUUUUAGGCUGUUUUUGGACAAAUUAGGACAAGGGUUCAAAGGGUUUUGGGUUGGAAAAAAACCCUAAAUAUUCAGGGGACCUCCGGUUUCGAAUUUGGGGAUUUUUUGGGAACUGAUUUUGUUGAGUUUAUUUGGGGCAUUUUGAUAUCUUUAACUGCGAUGGAUUCUAUUACCUGGGAUUGUGAUUAUGCUUGGCUAUCUUCGGGUGGGGUUGUGAUUAUGCUUGACUAUAUUCUUUUUUCGUUGUGAUUUCGUUGGUAUUUUUCUUCUCUGUGAUUAUAUCGGCAUGACUCUAUUUGAUAGUUGGAAUCAGUGUUUGUUUGUGGUUCUGUGAUUAUGCUCAAUGGAAGGGGGACGUGAAGUUUGGUGCUUUCUGUUGGCUUUUUUCCAGUAAUCUCUUCACUUUGUAAAUGCUUGGAUGUGUGCCAUACCUUUCUUGAAUCUGUGAUGAUCGAACAUAUUAUGCAUCUGUUGGCUGAUUGUCAGCAGUUGAUUGUGUAAACUAAACCUGGUUGAACCUCUUAUUUUUUUACUAUUCUAGACCUUUGGUUAAAUAUUGGUUUAAUUACACCGAAUUUGGUUGCUUUUCAUUGUAGAUCUUGUUUCUAUUUUUUUUUUGGACAAUAUUGGUUUCUUUUGUGGGUCAUGGUUUCAUGGAAUUGUUCUUGGUUUCAUUAAAUUGUUCUUGGUUUCAGAAACAGUCUUAGUUUCUUUGUAGUUCUUGGUUUCAUGAAUUUGAUGGAGGAAUCUUUUGUAGUUCUUGGUUUCUUGGUUAGUUCUUGGUUUCAUGAAAUAUUUCAAAUUAUUAUUUGUAAAUCUUGGUUUCAUUUGUACUUCUUGGGUUGAGUUAAUUUGAUGAUAGUGUUUCAUUACUAGUUCUUGGUUUUUUUUGUACAAAUGGUUACCAAGUUAAUUCUUGGUUUCAUGAAAUUUUCCAGAAUUGGUUUUGUAGUUCUUGGUUUCAUUUGUACUUCUUGGGUUCAUGAAUUUGAUUUGGUUUCAUUACUAGUUCUUGGUUUCUUUUGAUCUUAUUGGUUUCAUGCAUCAGAUUUGGUUUUGAAAUCUAGUUAUUGGUUUCUUUUGUACUUCUUGGUUGCAUGAAAAUUUUCCAAAACAUAUUGUAGUUCACUUGGGUUUCUUUUGUUUUAAAUAUAUAAUCUACAGAGGGAAAUCAUGUAUAUCCAAUUCGGUUAUUCUUCUGUUUGCUACUUCAUCUUUUGGAGUCUAUGAUUAUUGUUGUUAUAGAAUAGAUUUUGAGGCUUGAGUUUUUGGUUUUUGGCAUAGACUUACAGUUAUAAUGCCGGUCCAAAAGGUAGUAAUUCCAUGCUUGAGUUUUUGGUUUUUGGCAUAGAUGUUCUUAUGUGUGUUGAGACACCUUGUUGGCUGUCUAUAAUUGAUAUUGAGUAUUGGAUAUUAACUUCCCAAUUAUAAUCACCAAACUUAAUGAUUUACAACUUGAGUUCUCAAGUUUACUUGUGAUAUUAUUUAACUAAUUUUGGACAAUGCUUUUGUUGGGGCUUUCGGACUCCUAUCCUUGGUAUAAAAUAACACAUUCAUUUUGAUAUUUGAUAUUGAGCCAUUUGCAGUGUUGCGUAUCUCUCAGGGGAGGGGGUUUAUAUUAGGCUGUGAUGAUGGUGUUAUAGUUUGGGUUAAGUCUGAAGUGUGUAUGAGGCCCCAUCGAUAUGGCGGGGUAAUUUUCACCCGAAUUGCCAUAUUGCAGUUUGUGGUACAUACCACAAAAGACAAUUGGGGUUCGGGUGAGAUUUUGCAGCCAUUCGAUGUUGGGCUCCUUGCUUACACAUGAUGUCAAUAUUUACAUCAUUCUGAGCCUUUAUAAUUAUUUAUAUAUUCGAUAUAUUAUUAAACCGGAUGGGGAUGCUCGUAUUUUUUGUUAUUUUGUUUUGCAUGUUGUUUGGUAUCUUGAUUUAAUUUGGUUUAAUUAUGUGUAAACUAAACCACAAGGCUGUGAUGAUGAGGACCGUUUGUGGGGAUCAUGUGAAAUAAAUGGUCAUUUCCCUAAUGGCUAGGUAAUCAGGACGGCCAAUAAGUAUUGGCAACGGGUUGUAGCAGCCAUCAGUGGGUGGCCAACUUUCCAAGAUCAUACCAAACGGUUUAUGAGCCAUCCACCCGGACUAACACCCCAAACUUUUCAACUUUUGUUUUUAACAUUUUCAAUGCGUUUUUAGCGAUGGAUUCACAAGACUCUGGACAUAUGUUCUUUACGAAUCUCUUAAGUCAAGAUCUUCAACUCGACAGCACUUAUGGUGGGCAAAGUGGAUCAUCUCCAAUGACCCUUGGUGACUCUUCACCCCUACCCCCUAAUGAGUCUAUCGGCAAUAGGAAAUCAGUGAGGGGUGCAAAUUUCAACCUCGAAAAAGACAAGUUACUUGUAUCAGCAUAGAUAAAUUGUAGCCUUGAUGCCGUUCAGGAAACAGAUCAAAAACACUCCCAACUUUGGGAGAAAAUUUAUGAGUACUUCCAGCAAUUUAAGGAAACCACAAAUGACCGGACAAUAAAGUCUUUAAUUCAUCGGUGGUCGGUUAUCCAAAAGGCCACAAACAAAUUUUGUGCGAAACUAGCCCAAGUUGAAGGAUUAAAUCAAAGUGGCAUGACCGAACAAGAUAAGUUUGAUAAGGCGAAGCUAAUGUACCAAUCACUCGAGAAAUGCUCAUUUCAGUUCGAGCAUUGUUGGCACCUGUUGAAGGACCAACCUAAGUGGAUUUGGCGCGCCACAAAGGAGGAUCCAAAACGAAGGAAGACGAUGUCCCCAUCCCCGACCCCAACUCAAUGUUUAGACGCUACAUUGAUUCAGUUUUUGAUAUCGAGGCAGAUCAAAUGCUGGAGAAUGAAGUUAUCGAGCCUGACCGACCAAUUGGAAGGAAAGCUGAGAAAGGAAAACGAAAGGCCUAAGGCAGGCAAGCAUAGAAGAAUUUCCAACUCGUGAAGAUGAAAUAUACUCUUUUGGAUGAGUCACGCGCUCAGGAGAAAGAGUUUUAUCACCUUAAAGCCUAGAAGAUGGAGUAUGAAAAGGAGACAGAGGCCAGAAAAUUACAUCUUGAGGAUGAAAGACUGAGGUUGGAGGCUGAGAAGAUGCCGCUUGAUCGAGAAAAAGAGCUCAGUAAAAUCCGACAAGAGGACGAACGGCUGCGGUUGGAGGCUGAGAAAGUGGAGAUCGCGAAGAAGGAAUCAGAUCAGCGCAUCAUGAUGAUGGAUGUGAGUGUCAUGCCAGAAAUGCAGCGGCUUUAUUUCCAGCAACUCCAGAGGGAAAUCAUGGCGAGACGCAUUAGAGAUGCCGAUUUGGAUUGAUUAUUUAUGAUCAUGUUAUUUAUUUUAUGUUUGGGACAAUUAUGUUUGGGACAAUUAUUUUAUGAAGCGGGUCUUGAUUAC